GUCCACGCCGUAAACGAUGAGUGCUAGAUGCUAUGGGUAUUGACCCCCGUGGUGUCGUAGCUAACGCGUUAAGCACUCCGCCUGGGGAGUACGGCCGCAAGGCUAAAACUCAAAGGAAUUGACGGGGGCCCGCACAAGCGGUGGAGCAUGUGGUUCAAUUCGACGCAACGCGCAGAACCUUACCUGGGUUAAAUCCACUCAAACCUUGCAGAGAUGCGGGGGUGCUCUUCGGAGAAUGAGUGAGAAGGUGCUGCAUGGCUGUCGU
rnacentral:rRNA from 1 species